rnacentral:rRNA from 1 species
GACAGAGGUGCCGAGCGUUAGGCGGAAUCACUGGGCUUACAGAGUUCGUAGGCGGUCUGGAAAGUUGGGUGUGAAAUCCCUCGGCUCAACCGAGGAACUGCGCUUGAAACUACCAGACUCGAGGGAGAUAGAGGAAAGCGGAACUGAUGGUGGAGCGGUGAAAUGCGUUGAUAUCAUCAGGAACACCGGUGGCGAAGGCGGCUUUCUGGGUCUUACCUGACGCUGAGGAACGAAAGCUAGGGGAGCGAACGGG